rnacentral:lncRNA from 1 species
UGUUUUUUUUUUUUUUUGUAGGGGAUGUGGGUAAGUUAGAGCGAGGUUACAGUGGAAGUGUUAAGCUUUGAAUAGUUUCCCGUAAGAUUUAAAAGUUGUAUUUUAAAAGAAAAAUGUAUCUUACAGCUAUUAAGAAUCACUUGCUGUAUCUGUAAGAUGUUUUCAACAUAAUUUUUUUGUCUGAACGGUUAUCAGGUAUUUUUUUUUUCGAAAGUUCGAUAGAAC